GGAGACGCAGCAGUGCCAGGGACAAGGAGGAGUCGACCUGGGGGUAGCACAGCCCACCGGGGCACAGCUGGAGCAGCACCCAGGUGCUUCUGACUCCGGCAUGGAGGAAGCGCCCGCUUUCUCGGCCCAGGCCCGCAGCCAGGGCUGCUCCGCCCGCUGCGCCCCAGGGCAAAAGCCCCGCAAGGCAGUGUGAGCUGGAGCCGCCAGCCUGAGGACCUCUUUUAAGAUGACCCGUACGGACGCUCCGGACCUGCUGGUGUCGACCGUGUACCAGGACAUCAAGGUGGCGACCCCGGGACCCGCUUCCAAGCGCUCGCCAUGUGAGCGAUCCGUGGCCCGGCCUGCUGAGCCCGCGCCUUUCAACAAGCGCCACUGCCCCAGCUUCGACUUCCUGGAGGCGCUGGACCGGCCGACCACGGAGACCCUGCCGGAGCCACCGCCCCCGGAGCCCGCUGUGCCGCGCGCCCGGACCCGCGAGGCCGAGCCACGCCGCCGCGCCCGCUCCAAGAGCGCGCCCCCGGGCCUGACGCCCGCGCCCGCCUUGCCGCCCGUGUUGCCCCGC
rnacentral:lncRNA from 1 species